GCCACUGCUCCCGGCCCCUGCUCCCUUUUUUUCUUUCCUCUUUUCCAGUAAUUUAGUCCUUGUAUCUAAAUUAUGCUUGAAUCUCGACCACUUAAUCUGUGGUUAGCAGACAGUAGUAGUUCAUUAAAUCUUUACUUUUGAAUAAGGAGGUAUGAGAAAACAGUUAGUUGGAAAUUAGUUUGAAUAAUAGAAGGGGGGUUAAUCCAAAUUUCGCCCAUUGAUUAAGGAGUGAUAAGCUCCUGGGCUGUGCUGCUUAGUGGCUGUGUGCUCCUCCAUGGAAAGGAUGUACCAUAUUCAGGAACACUUUUCAAAUGGUUAUGUGUUGAGUGGUUGAGGGGAGACACUAGAUGCAUGACAUCUGUUGUUGGAUAUCCAGGUAGCUUCAGAAACUAGUUUCAGCAGAUGAAGGAACUGGUUAUGUUACCUAUGUCACUAGAAAGGUCUUUGUUUCUUCUGGAGAAGGCCAGUUGACUAUGUCAUCAUCAACAAAAUUGCUAUAGGUCUCAGUCUGCCCUUGACCCCAUGGACCCUGUGUUUGUUGUCUUCAUUGCUGGUAAUUCAAAGUUAAUAUUUGAAAUGAGUGAACCCAAGCAGAAAUAAUGACUUUGACUUACAAUACUGAGAGGUCAUAGCCAACCAUGUGAAUAGAGCAUGCUCCUUUCUGGCCUCCCACCCACAGUGUGAGUCCAAGGGAAGUAUGGACUCGCCCUAUGGGUGGGAGCCCAGGAAGGUGCAUUAUACCAGCCUUUGCUGAGCUUCUCUAGAGGGGCCAGGAGGAGUUCAGCCUUAGGAAAAGGGGAAAGCUUGUGAAUGUGUCCUCAGGAAGUUGGUUUGCUGAAUUAAGAGGUGAAGGUAAGGUCUCAGGAGCUCAGUAGACCCCUCUGCCCAAAUGCAGUUGGCAGUCCUUGGUCAGGCUUAACCCUAGUGGAGGCCAGGGGUUAGAGCUACCAUGUAGAUUGCAGGUGGGAGGUUGUGGUUGACUUUUUGUAAGUCAUUAGUACAAAUGCUUUUAGUGCCUUUAGCCCGUAGGGGUUUUACGAGGUCACGGCAUGAUUGGGAUAAGCUUAGCUUAGCCAGAGCCGGCUCCUCUUUCCUACUUGGAAGGUAGGGGCAAUGCUGCACCUGUCCCUGGGCUGUGCAAUGGAGUGAAGGGGACUUGGGGCAGUCAAGAGCGAGAGGCAUUGCCACAUCCCUGGGUGGCUUGCAGUCAUCGUGAUACACUGACCUGGUUGCAAUCAUUUUUAUGGUGAAUUAUUCAAAAGCAGUACUCUGGCCCUUAUCUCUGCCCAGUCAUUCUAUAAUGAAGAGGCACGGGGUGGAGCCCGGGGACACCUUUGGUGGCAUUGUUGGGCCACACACCUUACCCCUCACAUCCUGCACAGCUGAAUCCGAGCCCGAGGACCACGUGCGGGGCCGUCUCCAGUGUGGAUGGCAGCCCGGCUGGAACGCACUGGCAGGUGGUCCCUGCUCCCCAGAGGCGCUGUUUCCUUCCGGAGGCGAGGCUGGAACUGCUCCAGAUACCCAGCAGGAAGGCCACGUGACAACGGGAGGGGCGUUUCUCUGUGUGUGUGUGUGUGUGUGUGUGUGUGUGUAGGGGCGAGAGGGUAGGGGUGCCAGGGUCCUGCUGUUCACCAGGCGCCCACGUGCCUGCCACCGAGCGCCAUUCACUCCGAACCGCCGGGCCCCCUGCGGCGAGGCGAGCAGGUGGCGCGAGAGGAAGAGCGGAGCCCACGAUGUGCUCCUUUGGGCUUGAUGUUCCUCCUGCCCUCCCGUCUCCCUUCCUGGCUUCACCAGCAAGGCUUUCCUCCCACGCUAAUUUCUGUGGGACCUCUCUAGGCAGAACCCUCAGAGCCUCUGAAAGGCGGCUUCGUCGUCCUGGUCUGCGCAGGGCGUGGAUUUUGAGCGCUUGGAAUGUGCCUCAACUGAGAAACGCUAUUUUAAUAAGUUUACAUCCAAAAGCCGAUCAUUGAUUCCAUUAUUUGGAAAACGACUUUUCAGUGUGUUUGGAACAACUCGGAUAUUGGAAUCUUUUAAACUGUAAAUUUUAUGAAAUCUAAAUAACGACCAAAUAUCUGCAAGCAAAAUCUAGCAUCUGAAUCAAGUGUGCUGUCAGUGUAAAACACACACCGGAUUUCAAAGAUUUUACUGCAGAAAAAACACAUGAAAAUACUGGUUACAUGUGGAAAUGACAGUAUUUUAGAUCUGUUGGAUUACAUAAAAUUAAAUUUAAAUUAAUGUUACUGGUUUCUUUUACAUUUUCUAGUGUGGCUACUGGGAAGUUUAAAUUUCAUAUGUGUCUCAUGUUAUAUUUUAUUACAUUUCUCUCGGCCCUUGUGCUCUAGGUGGUCGAUUUAGGGGGAUUGAGGUGAGGUAAUGGCCAACCUAAAGGAGGGCCAGAGUUCCCUCUGCCGACCUAUGGCUCUCACUGCUACCCCUCCCUGAUUAUCCACCCAGUGGAUGUGGAAGUCAGGGAGACAUAUUCAGAGAUGCUCACUGCCUGCUCCGGGAAGUGCUGUCCCUAGUGGGGUGGGAGCAAGUCUGAAGAGUGAGUGCUUCAUGGGAACUCUGGCUUCCCGGCUGUCUUCAUGCCUGUGCAUGGCCAUGACACCUGGCAGGACGCCAGAGGGGGAGAGCCAAAGUGUCCUGUAUUCUAGCAGAGUACAGACCAUCAGAAAUGUUUCAAUUCCAAAGCCGGGCCAGGUGCUAUCACCUACUGGAGCCAAAGUACCCUUGAACAGUUCACCUCUCUCAGGCUUAGGGUGAUUACAGUGAAAAUUGGAUGCUUUUCUAAAUAACUCAAACAAUGAUGGUGCCUAUUUAUAACCUUUACUAGACCGCUUCUUUUCGCCCCAAUCAGAAUGUGAAGUCUGGAUUUAGACAAAAGAUUAUUUGGAGGGGGUGAUAGUAUCUUUUGCAAAAGGAAUUCAAAAUAAGGUAACCGGCAACCAAGAGGGGCUGCCCACCUGCUAGGUUUAAUACUCUCAGGAGUAAAGAGACAUAGGACCUGUUCCCUGUGUCAUGUCCCCUUGGUUGGGAACAUCUACCUCUUUUCCAUCCUUCUGUUCAAAUCUGAAUUAUUUGUUCAAGGUGCAGCUCUGAUCCCACCUCCUCCAGCGUCUUUCUUGGAUUCCUCUAGGCUUCCCAGCCCCAUUAAGCAGUGUCGUGACCUGCAGCCACACAUGCCAUAGGCCUCCAUCCUCAGGAAAGUGAUUGAGUCCACCGGCGUACUUGCCUUUGAAACCAGGUUCUGAGACGUGGAAGCAAGUGACGUUAUUGUUCUGAUUAGUUACCUAUCCCCCUAACGGGGAGCUACAGAGUGCUUUGCAAAUAGUAAUGCUUUAACCUCACCUCCAAGAAAACAGAACAGUCUGAUGUGAAAAACAUUUAUAAUUUCUUGUAUUUAUAGUGUGUAUCUUCAUUAUAAUCAUUCUUACAAUAAAUACAGAAGUGCUAGACCAUUAUCACAGUGGCCUAUGGGCUGAGGCACAGGAACUUGAGACCCCAGUGCUUCUCAAGGCCUGGCCAGGACGCCUUCAGAGAGGCUAGUGAAGAGGAGAGGAAUGUAGGGUGAACUUGAAAUGUGAUUAAUAGACUCAAUGCAGCACACGCUAGAAACAGAUACAGAGUUAUUGGUUUUUGUUUUAACUUUUACCAGAUGAUACUACAGAAACAGAACAAA